rnacentral:rRNA from 1 species
AGUAACGCGUGGAUAACCUGCCUCACACAGGGGGAUAACAGUUAGAAAUGACUGCUAAUACCGCAUAAGCGCACAGUCUCGCAUGGGACAGUGUGAAAAACUGAGGUGGUGUGAGAUGGAUCCGCGUCUGAUUAGGCAGUUGGCGGGGUAACGGCCCACCAAACCGACGAUCAGUAGCCGGCCUGAGAGGGUGAACCGGCCACAUUGGGACUGAGACACGGCCCAAACUCCUACGGAAGGCAGCAG